rnacentral:rRNA from 1 species
GCUCAGGACGAACGCUGGCGGCGUGCCUAACACAUGCAAGUCGAACGGAGAAUUUUAUUUCGGUAGAAUUCUUAGUGGCGAACGGGUGAGUAACGCGUAGGCAACCUACCCUUUAGACGGGGACAACAUUCCGAAAGGAGUGCUAAUACCGGAUGUGAUCAUCUUGCCGCAUGGCAGGAUGAAGAAAGAUGGCCUCUACAAGUAAGCUAUCGCUAAAGGAUGGGCCUGCGUCUGAUUAGCUAGUUGGUAGUGUAACGGACUACCAAGGCGAUGAUCAGUAGCCGGUCUGAGAGGAUGAACGGCCACAUUGGGACUGAGACACGGCCCAAACUCCUACGGGAGGCAGCAGUA